UCCUAUCACUUUCUCUCCUGUUUUAUUUCUUCUUUCUCUAUCUGUUCUCCUGCUAAACCUAAUUCUGUUGAAGUCAAACGAAAUCUACAAAAAAUUCAGAAGCUAUCUUCCCUGAACUCUUAUUUCAUAAUCAAAACCCAUCAUUUAGAAAUACGCUUAUCUCACUCACAAAGACUCUCCUUUGUCUAAGAAGAAGACGCUCUUCGAUUCGCCUGAGUUUUUGAUUUUGGAGUGAUGGAGCAGCAGCAUAAUAAGAACAUGGUUGAAGAAAACAUCCGAGAAGAAGAAAUUCUCCAUGGCCCCUUUUUCGGUUUAACAACUUCGGGCGGCUGGGGUAGCCUCAGUUGAUGUAAAGAAGCUUAAAGAUGCUGGUCUAUGCACUGUUGAAGCUGUUGCAUACUCUUCUCGGAAAGAAUUACUUCUAAUCAAAGGAAUUAGUGAGAUCAUUAAAUUAAGCAGCGACGAAGCUGGUUCCAUUGGGUUUUACUAGUGCUAGUCAACUUCAUGCACAAAGGCAAGAAAUCAUUCAGAUAACAUCAGGAUCAAGAGAAUUUGACAAGGUCUUAGAAGGAAGGACUGAGACUUGGGCUAUUACUCAAUUGUAUGGUGAAUUUCUCAAAAUCAUGAUUUUUAUUAUGUCCAGUGCGCACUCCUCGAACUGAUGUAAAGGAGUUCUUCCGGCAAGCCAGGAGUACGUCUUUCUACAAGCAGUUCGGCGCAUUUCUUGUUAACAUCGAGGAGCUGAAUUCUCAAAAUCGAACUCGAGAGUUUCGUCAGUCUUAUGAUAGCUGCAUUGGAGGAGAUGGCUUUGAAACGCUUACAGCAGUCUUUGCCUGCUCUCCCAGUGAUCCCAUAUGUCCUUUUUCCUCCAGUGUUUGGUGGAUUGAGAUAAUGCAGCUUGCAUUUGGUUUCAUCCAACAUAUAAAUAAGGGAAUACACACCCUCAAUUCAUCACUGGGAAGUUUCUCGUUUGUUGUUUUGCAGUUUGCAGUCGUCUUUAUGAACUUCAAAACUUAGAUCUAAGUGACAUCCUAUCGGCAGAAUUUGGAGUAGCUCUUGCAGUGUGAGUGCACAAGAUUCUUCAGUAAACAAGACCUCGAGUAGGCACGCAAACGCAAGUGCAUAUGUCCUCCGAGUUGGAGGCUGCCCUUUCUGCUAUUUUAUGCUAACGUGUCUACGUGUUCUGACUUCUGAUCACCAUGAAGUAAAGCCUGCAUACUGUGAAUAAGUCAGAUAGUUGUUGAAUUUUAAGUUGCAAGGGUGCAAGAUGAAUCUAAAGUGAUGACUGCAGAGAGUGGAACAUCACUUGGGAUGGCCUGAGGUCAUAGAGCAAAAGCCUUACGAUCACAAGGCGAACAUUUUCAGUUUCAUAAUUGUGUUGUAGGAGAUGCUAACUAGAAAGGCAGCUUCUUUACGACUUGUCAUACUUAUCAUGCCCACGGUUUUCACUGCCUAUAUAUGGUUUAUUUGUUCGUCUGAGUGAAGUCACUGUGUAAAUGUUGUUGUUGUUGUCUUGAUGAUGGGUCUAUUAGACCACCUCCGUGUAUAUUAUUAUCCACUAGUCAUGUAAACCUAGCAUAUAAGGCUUGACUUUUUACUCUUCUUCUGAAUGUAGUUCGAUACCUUCAUGGAUGCCGUCACUCUCUUCCCGAUGGUCUCAUGAGGGUUGCUGAUGUCAUGGUUGAUGGUGAGAUCGUUGUUGCUGCUGGAUAAGGAAAUGUUGGAAAGGGUUGUGCUUCUAAAAGAUCUUCUCUCAAGCAAGCUGGUGCCAAGGUCCUAAUGACUGAAAUUGUGGUUGAAAUUUUUAGGCCUUGUUGUAUCACUUCUCUUUAAGAAACCUUAAUAAUAGGGAAUUGAAUCCUUUUUUCUUAAUGAAUUGGACUAAAUUUAUGAGCACAGUUCAAUGUAAUGGAGCUGUCAUUUGGUAUUAGAUGAUUCAGGUUUUAUUUGGAAUUUGAAUUUUAGUAUUUUAAUGUUAUUUUUCAUUUGAAUUUUGCUUGAA